GACAGAGGGGGCAAGCGUUGUCCGACUGACUUGGGGUAAAACGCGCGCAGGCGGUCUCGGGCGGCGGUGCUGAAAGUCCACCGCUUAACGGUGGGAAGCGUGCCGAUACGCCGAGACUGGAGGGUGGGCGAGGGUGGUGGAAUUGCCGGUGUAGUGGUGAAAUGCGUAGAGAUCGGCAGGAACACCCGUGGCGUAAGCGGCCACCUAGCCCGCACCUGACGCUGAGGCGCGACAGCGUGGGGAGCGAACGGG
rnacentral:rRNA from 1 species